rnacentral:rRNA from 1 species
CAGUAGCCACGGGAAUACGAAGGGUGCAAGCGUUACUCGGAAUUACUGGGCGUAAAGCGUGCGUAGGUGGUGGUUUAAGUCCGUUGUGAAAGCCCUGGGCUCAACCUGGGAAUUGCAAUGGAUACUGGGUCACUAGAGUGUGGUAGAGGAUAGUGGAACUUCCGGUGUAGCAGUGAAAUGCGUAGAGAUCGGAAGGAACGCCCGUGGCGAAAGCGAGGUCCUGGACGUCUGCUGACGCUGAGACGCGAAAGCCAGGGGAGCGAACGGGAUUAGAUACCCCUGUAGUCCCUGUCUCUUAUAC